rnacentral:lncRNA from 1 species
CUCUACCCUGGGUGGGAAAAUAGCCUCAUACCAAAUAAACCCCAAUGAACCUAUCAAGUUAGGUAGAACCCUUUUUAAGGAAAACCUCCUUACCUCGGUUUAGAAGGGAUAAAUAUUAUUUUGGGUAUGGACUGGAUGACUUGACACCGAGUUACACUAGAUAUUUUUCCACCAGAGUCAUCCACAUAGAUUCACCAUUGUACGGCAGCUCAACCAUACACCUACCCC